AGUCGAACGAUGAAGCCCAGCUUGCUGGGUGGAUUAGUGGCGAACGGGUGAGUAACACGUGAGCAACCUGCCCCUGACUCUGGGAUAAGCGCUGGAAACGGCGUCUAAUACUGGAUAUGUCCCAUCACCGCAUGGUGUGUGGGUGGAAAGAUUUUUCGGUUGGGGAUGGGCUCGCGGCCUAUCAGCUUGUUGGUGAGGUAAUGGCUCACCAAGGCGUCGACGGGUAGCCGGCCUGAGAGGGUGACCGGCCACACUGGGACUGAGACACGGCCCAGACUCCUACGGGAGGCAGCAGUGGGGAAUAUUGCACAAUGGGCGGAAGCCUGAUGCAGCAACGCCGCGUGAGGGAUGACGGCCUUCGGGUUGUAAACCUCUUUUAGCAGGGAAGAAGCGAAAGUGACGGUACCUGCAGAAAAAGCACCGGCUAACUACGUGCCAGCAGCCGCGGUAAUACGUAGGGUGCAAGCGUUAUCCGGAAUUAUUGGGCGUAAAGAGCUCGUAGGCGGUUUGUCGCGUCUGCUGUGAAAUCCCGAGGCUCAACUUCGGGCUUGCAGUGGGUACGGGCAGACUAGAGUGCGGUAGGGGAGAUUGGAAUUCCUGGUGUAGCGGUGGAAUGCGCAGAUAUCAGGAGGAACACCGAUGGCGAAGGCAGAUCUCUGGGCCGUAACUGACGCUGAGGAG
rnacentral:rRNA from 1 species